GGUUAAGUUAGAAAGGGCGCACGGUGGAUGCCUUGACACUAGGAGUCGAUGAAGGACGGGACUAACGCCGAUAUGCUUCGGGGAGCUGUAAGUAAGCUUUGAUCCGAAGAUUUCCGAAUGGGGAAACCCACCAUACGUAAUGGUAUGGUAUCCUUAUCUGAAUACAUAGGGUAAGGAAGACAGACCCAGGGAACUGAAACAUCUAAGUACCUGGAGGAAGAGAAAGCAAAUGCGAUUUCCUGAGUAGCGGCGAGCGAAACGGAACAUAGCCCAAACCAAGAGGCUUGCCUCUUGGGGUUGUAGGACAUUCUAUACGGAGUUACAAAGGAACGAGGUAGACGAAGCGACCUGGAAAGGUCCGUCGUAGAGGGUAACAACCCCGUAGUCGAAACUUCGUUCUCUCUUGAAUGUAUCCUGAGUACGGCGGAACACGUGAAAUUCCGUCGGAAUCUGGGAGGACCAUCUCCCAAGGCUAAAUACUCCCUAGUGAUCGAUAGUGAACCAGUACCGUGAGGGAAAGGUGAAAAGCACCCCGGAAGGGGAGUGAAAGAGAUCCUGAAACCGUGUGCCUACAAAUAGUCAGAGCCCGUUAACGGGUGAUGGCGUGCCUUUUGUAGAAUGAACCGGCGAGUUACGAUCCCGUGCGAGGUUAAGCUGAAGAGGCGGAGCCGCAGCGAAAGCGAGUCUGAAUAGGGCGUUUAGUACGUGGUCGUAGACCCGAAACCAGGUGAUCUACCCAUGUCCAGGGUGAAGUUCAGGUAACACUGAAUGGAGGCCCGAACCCACGCACGUUGAAAAGUGCGGGGAUGAGGUGUGGGUAGCGGAGAAAUUCCAAUCGAACCUGGAGAUAGCUGGUUCUCCCCGAAAUAGCUUUAGGGCUAGCCUUAAGUGUAAGAGUCUUGGAGGUAGAGCACUGAUUGGACUAGGGGUCCUCAUCGGAUUACCGAAUUCAGUCAAACUCCGAAUGCCAAUGACUUAUCCUUAGGAGUCAGACUGCGAGUGAUAAGAUCCGUAGUCAAAAGGGAAACAGCCCAGACCGCCAGCUAAGGUCCCAAAGUGUGUAUUAAGUGGAAAAGGAUGUGGAGUUGCUUAGACAACUAGGAUGUUGGCUUAGAAGCAGCCACCAUUUAAAGAGUGCGUAAUAGCUCACUAGUCGAGUGACUCUGCGCCGAAAAUGUACCGGGGCUAAAUACACCACCGAAGCUGCGGAUUGAUACCAAUGGUAUCAGUGGUAGGGGAGCGUUCUAAGGACAGUGAAGUCAGACCGUAAGGACUGGUGGAGUGCUUAGAAGUGAGAAUGCCGGUAUGAGUAGCGAAAGACGGGUGAGAAUCCCGUCCACCGAAUGCCUAAGGUUUCCUGAGGAAGGCUCGUCCGCUCAGGGUUAGUCAGGACCUAAGCCGAGGCCGACAGGCGUAGGCGAUGGACAACAGGUUGAUAUUCCUGUACCACCUCUUUAUCGUUUGAGCAAUGGAGGGACGCAGAAGGAUAGAAGAAGCGUGCGAUUGGUUGUGCACGUCCAAGCAGUUAGGCUGAUAAGUAGGCAAAUCCGCUUAUCAUAAAGGCUGAGCUGUGAUGGGGAAGCUCCUUAUGGAGCGAAGUCUUUGAUUCCCCGCUGCCAAGAAAAGCUUCUAGCGAGAUAAAAGGUGCCUGUACCGCAAACCGACACAGGUAGGCGAGGAGAGAAUCCUAAGGUGUGCGAGAGAACUCUGGUUAAGGAACUCGGCAAAAUGACCCCGUAACUUCGGGAGAAGGGGUGCUUUCUUAACGGAAAGCCGCAGUGAAUAGGCCCAAGCGACUGUUUAGCAAAAACACAGCUCUCUGCGAAGCCGUAAGGCGAAGUAUAGGGGGUGACACCUGCCCGGUGCUGGAAGGUUAAGGAGAGGGGUUAGCGUAAGCGAAGCUCUGAACUGAAGCCCCAGUAAACGGCGGCCGUAACUAUAACGGUCCUAAGGUAGCGAAAUUCCUUGUCGGGUAAGUUCCGACCCGCACGAAAGGUGUAACGAUUUGGGCACUGUCUCAACCAGAGACUCGGUGAAAUUAUAGUACCUGUGAAGAUGCAGGUUACCCGCGACAGGACGGAAAGACCCCGUGGAGCUUUACUGUAGCCUGAUAUUGAAUUUUGGUACAGUUUGUACAGGAUAGGCGGGAGCCAUUGAAACCGGAGCGCUAGCUUCGGUGGAGGCGCUGGUGGGAUACCGCCCUGACUGUAUUGAAAUUCUAACCUACGGGUCUUAUCGACCCGGGAGACAGUGUCAGGUGGGCAGUUUGACUGGGGCGGUCGCCUCCUAAAGUGUAACGGAGGCGCCCAAAGGUUCCCUCAGAAUGGUUGGAAAUCAUUCGUAGAGUGCAAAGGCAUAAGGGAGCUUGACUGCGAGACCUACAAGUCGAGCAGGGACGAAAGUCGGGCUUAGUGAUCCGGUGGUUCCGCAUGGAAGGGCCAUCGCUCAACGGAUAAAAGCUACCCCGGGGAUAACAGGCUUAUCUCCCCCAAGAGUCCACAUCGACGGGGAGGUUUGGCACCUCGAUGUCGGCUCAUCGCAUCCUGGGGCUGUAGUCGGUCCCAAGGGUUGGGCUGUUCGCCCAUUAAAGCGGUACGCGAGCUGGGUUCAGAACGUCGUGAGACAGUUCGGUCCCUAUCCGUCGUGGGCGUAGGAAAUUUGAGAGGAGCUGUCCUUAGUACGAGAGGACCGGGAUGGACGCACCGCUGGUGUACCAGUUGUUCUGCCAAGGGCAUAGCUGGGUAGCUAUGUGCGGAAGGGAUAAGUGCUGAAAGCAUCUAAG
rnacentral:rRNA from 1 species